UACAGAGGUCCCAAGCGUUGUUCGGAUUCACUGGGCGUAAAGGGUGCGUAGGUGGUUAGGUAAGUCCGAUGUGAAAUCUCCAGGCUCAACCUGGAAAUGGCAUUGGAUACUAUUUAGCUUGAGGAGUGGAGGGGGGACUGGAAUUCUCGGUGUAGCAGUGAAAUGCGUAGAUAUCGAGAGGAACACCAGUGGCGAAGGCGAGUCCCUGG
rnacentral:rRNA from 1 species